rnacentral:rRNA from 1 species
UCUGGUUGAUCCUGCCAGUAGUCAUAUGCUUGUCCUAAAGAUUAAGCCAUGCAUGUCUAAGUAUAAGCUUUUAUACAGUGAGACUGCGAAUGGCUCAUUAAAUCAGUUAUAGUUUAUUUGCUGAACGUUUAUAUGGAUAACCGUAGUAAUUCUAGAGCUAAUACAUGCUGGUUGCGCAGUGCGUAGUAUAUAUUAGAUAAAGCCAACGGGCGAGGAGUCAUAAUAUCUGAGCGGACUUCGUUUGAAGUGCAGCAUUGAAGUUUCUGCCCUAUCAGCUUGAUGGUAGUGUAUUGGACUACCAUGGCAAUGACGGGUGACGGAGAAUUAGGGUUCGAUUCCGGAGAGGGAGCCUGAGAAACGGCUACCACAUCUAAGGAAGGCAGCAGGCGCGCAAAUUACCCAAUCCUAACUCAGGGAGGUAGUGACAAGAAAUAACAACGCGGGGCAAAGUCUCGUGAUUGGAAUGAGGACAAUGUAAAAGCCUUAUCGAGGAUCCACUGGAGGGCAAGUCUGGUGCCAGCAGCCGCGGUAAUACCAGCUCCAGUAGCGUAUAUUAAAGUUGUUGCAGUUAAAAAGCUCGUAGUUGAAGUUCUGUACGGAUUGAGUCUCUACGGAGACACAAGCCGUACAUCCGUCUGAUUCUUCAGACACUUUACCUUGAGCAAAUUAGAGUGUUCCAGGCAGGCGCCAGCCUGAAUAGUCCAGCAUGGAAUAAUAGAAAAGGACGAAGAGCCACUGUUGGUGCGUGGCCCUUAGUAAUGAUUAAUAGGGAUAGUUGGGGGCAUUCGUAUUUAAUUGUCAGAGGUGAAAUUCUAUGAUUUAUUAAAGACGAACCUAUGCGAAAGCAUUUGCCAAGGAUGUUUUCAUUAAUCAAGAACGAAAGUUAAGGGAUCAAAGACGAUCAGAUACCGUCGUAGUCUUAACCAUAAACUAUGCCGACUAGAGAUUGGAUGGGGAAUUCAAGACCCAUUCAGGAUCUUCCGAGAAAUCAAAGUCCUUGGGUUCUGGGGGGAGUAUGGUCGCAAGACUGAAACUUAAAGGAAUUGACGGAAGGGCACCACCAGGUGUGGAGCCUGCGGCUUAAUUUGACACAACACGGGGAAACUUACCAGGGCCAGACAUGGCAAGGAUUGACAGACUGACAGCUCUUUCUUGAUUCUAUGGGUGGUGGUGCAUGGCCGUUCUUAGUUGGUGGAGUGAUUUGUCUGGUUAAUUCCGAUAACGAACGAGACCUCAGCCUGCUAACUAGUUCGUUCCUGCUUAGGAUCGGGACUUCUUAGAGGGACUUUGGGGGUUACUCCAAGGAAGUUUGAGGCAAUAACAGGUCUGUGAUGCCCUUAGAUGUCCUGGGCCGCACGCGCGCUACACUGAUGCAGGCAGUAAGUUCCAUGUCAGACAUGUCAUGGGAACCUUCAAACUGCAUCGUGAUGGGGAUUGACUCUUGGAAUUCUUGGUCAUAAACGAGGAAUACCUAGUAAACGCAAGUCAUCAGCUUGCAUUGAUUACGUCCCUGCCCUUUGUACACACCGCCCGUCGCUCCUACCGAUUGAGUGGUGAGGUGAACCCUUCGGACCGCUUACCCGGGAAGUUGUGUAAACCUUACCACUUAGAGGAAGGAGAAGUCGUAACAAGGUU